GUAUGUGAGGGCAAUCUGGCUGCAACAUCUGUCACCCCAUUGAUCUUCAGCGUUGAUUCGGUUGGUCUGGCUGGCUGGGCAGGUGUCCCCUUCCUCCUUCACCCCUCCAUGUACGUUCUCCUGAAAUUGUGUACUAGGUCGAAGAGGACGACCACCCUAGAGAGAAGAGGACCCUUUCCUCAGUCAAGGGUAUACGAGUAGCUGCGCUCCCCUGCUAGAACCUUCAAACAAGCUCUCUCAAAAUCAAAAAAUUAAAAUAGUUUGGGGAUAUAGCUCAAUGCAAAGGCCCCCUCCCCACCCCCUGCCAGG
rfam:Heterocephalus glaber contig117857, whole genome shotgun sequence.